GGCGUAUUGGUCAAGAGGUUAAGACGCAGCCCUCUCACGGCUGAAUCUGGGGUUCGAUUCCCCAAUACGCUACCA
rnacentral:tRNA from 2 species